CUGGCCAAUAGCAAGACCCCGUCUCUAUAAAAAAAAAAAAAGGUUUCUUUUUGAAACAUGGUCUUACCCUAGUGCCCAGGCUAGAGUACAGUGGCGUGAUCAUAUCUCACUGCAGCCUUGAACUCCUGGGCUCAAGCAAUCCUUUUUCCUUAGCUUCCCAAGUAGCUAGGACUAUGGGCACACUCCACCACACUUGGCUAUUUCUAAUAACUUUUUUGAUAGAUAUAGCCUAUCUUUUGUAGGAGAUAUUCUCAAACAUGUACAAAUGGAAAGGAAUAUGUUAUAAAGCCCCAUGACCAUUUCCCCAAUCUUCAUCAUUCCUGAUUGUUUCAUGGCUAUUUUGUUUCAGGGGAAAAGCUCCACACAAUGGAAUAUACUCAGCAAUAAAAAGGAAUGGACUAUGGAUGCAUUCAACAGAAAGCAAGAGUCUCAAGAAAAAUUACACAAAGUAAAAGAAGCCAGACAAAUGAUUGCAUUUAUAUAAAAUUUUUGUAACACUAACACAAAUUUCUACAAACAUAAAUCAGUUGUCUGUGGUUAGAGCUGUGGGGGUUGGCUAACAGCAGUGUGAUACGAGAAAAGCUUCAGUGUGAUGGGAAAGUUCUAUAUCUUGACUGUGGUGAUGGUUACCCAGGUGUAUACAUUUGUCAAAAUUCAAUGAACCAUACACUUCAAGUAGGUGCCUCUUAUUGUUUGUAAAUUAUAUUUCAAUAAAGUGAUUAAAAAUUC